rnacentral:tRNA from 2 species
GCCCGAUUAGCUCAGCUGGUUAGAGCGUCGUACUAAUAUCUGGUUUCUACCUGAUAUCAAGUCCAUGCGAAGGUCAACAGUUCAAUCCUGUUAUUGGGCA